AAGGAGUAAAGCAUAGAUUUCAUAUUCAGUUUUAAGAUAAAACAAAUCACUUGACAUUAUCCUUGAUUGUGAAGGGUUCUUUAAGCUGCACUCCACAACACUGGGAUGAUGCCGUUACUCACACAUGCUGUCUUGGCAAGUUGCUGUGGAAUUGUGGUAUAAGAGCACGAUGUUCUUUGUGAUAACUAUCAGUGUGUAUUUAUGUGUAUGUGUGAAGUACUCACUUCACCUCUGUUCAGUACCAAAGAGGCUGUCCCAGAAAGCAUUAAAUUUAAAACAUUCUGCAGAUGAAGCAGAAAUUGGCAAUCUGGAAAGCAGCCAGCGAAAAUUUAUUCUAAUUCGAAGUAAAAACUUCAUGCCAAGGCAGAGUUUAGAAUCCUGAAAGGGCAGGUAGAGCACGCCCACAGGACCGGCAGGAAUAACCGGACCCCAGCUUGGGUGCAGGGUCAAACUUCUGGCACCUAUCCUUGUCAAUGAUACCACACCCACCUCAACCAGAGGAGCAAAAGCUCUGAGCAGCUUUCCAGUUUCCAUCUCAAAAGACCACAGAGAGUGUUACUACAGUCAACUUAUCUGGAGGCCAGAAUUCUCCAGCACUUUCCCUUCUUUUUCAUCUCCUUCUCUUCCUUAUUUUCUGGUCUCUGAGUUAAAGACUGUAGAGAAAAGAGAGAAUAAAGCUUUCCCUGGAAAUCACAAGCCUCUGCUUCUUUUCUGUCCUUUCCUGCAGUGAAACAAUAGCUAGAGAGGAAACUUCAGGAUCCUGGUUAGUAAUUAAAUAUUCUGUUCAUAACCAUCAUUGAGUAUUUCAGUGGAAACAUUUAAGCAGCAACACAAGUGCAAGCUGACCAGUCCCACCGCAGUAUGGUCUACAUGGAUAGCAUGAGGAGAAGAAUGUUAUUCAGACUCUGUCAGUGUUUAUUCGAUACCACAGGAGGGAAGUGGACACUGCAUUCCAGAAAUGAAUACCCCUGGGUGGGGCUGGGAUGCUCACCCAUUUUUUUCAUAGCCCAGAUGAAAUAUCACUCAAAAUUACCUAACUGGCUGAUCUCUGAUUCUAUAAUUGCUAUGAUAUAGUCCAAUCCUGUUCCUCAAAGAUUUCUAGCUUUGCCAUGUUCAUUCUCUCUCCCUUUUUCUUUAUAAAGUAAUUCUCAUUUGGGGGGGGUGGGGGUGGGAGUAGUGAAAUCCCCAGCUAAGAAACUGAAUUUCCUAUCUCCUCUUAUAGAGAUUAAGUAACCCUAUGACUAAGUUCUGGCUUCUAAUACACUAGACCUUAGAGGAAAGCCCCUAAAAAAAGGACUGUUGAAUCAGUUGAGAGUUCCCUUUGGCCUUCCCCUUACUUUUCUUCCUACCAGAAUUGUGGACGCAAUGGCUAGACAGGCAGUGUCCAAGUUGUGACCUUAAAAUGACUUGUGAAUGGCAACCACACAGUAAGGAUGGCUUCUAGAAGGAGUCCAGAGCAUUGAUGACUCUACAGAGCCAGUAGAUCAGCCCUUCAUUGCCCACAUGCCCAUAUCCAAACUUCAUUUAUGUGAGAUAAAAACAAGUUUACCUUUUUUAAGUCACUGCUAUUCCAGAGCUCUGUUGAUAACAGUGGAACAAUUCCUAACAUCCUAUGUUAUAGGCAGGAUGUCCCUUAUUAGGGGUAUUUCCUUUUGCAAAAAAACCCAGUGAUACAGAUUUGUAAACCAAUCUCCUAUAAGUUUGGUUAGUAGGAAACAAGCUCCUAGAGACCUCUGUACUUCCAGAACUACAAAGUUGAAUUUCUGAACCCUGUGGUGCAGAGAGUAUGAGAUACUGACCAGUAUCCAUGAGGACUCAGGUUCAAUCCCUAGCCUCAGUGGGUUAAGUUUCCAGCAUUACCACAAGCUGCAGUGUAAGUCGCAGAUGUAGUUCAGAUCCUGAGUUGCUGCAGCUGUGAUGCAGGCCUGCAGCUGUAGCUCUAAUUCGAUCCCUAGUAUGGGAACUUCCAUAUGUUGUAG
rnacentral:lncRNA from 1 species